UGGGGAAUAUUGGACAAUGGGGGCAACCCUGAUCCAGCCAUGCCGCGUGUGUGAAGAAGGCCCUAGGGUUGUAAAGCACUUUCAGUGGGGAAGAAAAGCUCGAGGAUAAUACCCUCGGGUUAUGACGGUACCUACAGAAGAAGCACCGGCUAAUUCCGUGCCAGCAGCCGCGGUAAUACGGAAGGUGCAAGCGUUAAUCGGAAUUACUGGGCGUAAAGCGCGCGUAGGCGGCUGGAUAAGUCGGGUGUGAAAGCCCCGGGCUCAACCUGGGAACUGCAUUCGAUACUGUCCGGCUAGAGUGUGAUAGAGGGAGGCGGAAUUCCGCAUGUAGCGGUGAAAUGCGUAGAGAUGCGGAGGAACACCAAUGGCGAAGGCAGCCUCCUGGAUCAACACUGACGCUGAGGUGCGAAAGCGUGGGGAGCAAACAGGAUUAGAUACCCCCGUAGUCC
rnacentral:rRNA from 1 species